GAUGAACGCUGGCGGCGUGCCUAAUACAUGCAAGUCGAGCGGACAGGGACUGCUCUUGCUCCUUUUCAGUGAGGGGCGGACGGGUGAAUAACGCGUGGGACACCUCCCUGUCAGACUGGGAACACCUCGGGAAACCGGAUCUAAUACCAGAUAAAAUCUUGAUGCACAUGGUUCUAUAGUGAAAGAUGGCUUUGGUGUCACGUAUAGCGGGACCCGCGCUGUAUUGGAUGGUUGGUGGGGUAAAGGCCUACCAAGGCGAGGAUACGUAGCCGACUGGAGAGGGGGAUAGCCCACAUGGGAACUGAGCCACGGUCAAGAGGCCUACGGGAGGCAGCAGUAGGGAACCUUCGGCAAUGGGCGAAAGCAUGACGGAGCAAGGCGGCGUGUGUGAUGAAGGCUUCGGGUGCGUAAAGCCCGGUUAUGGGGGAAGAACAGCUUUGGAAGGAAAUGAUCAUAGAGUGACGGUAACUAAUCAGAAAGGAACGGCUAACUACGUG
rnacentral:rRNA from 1 species